rnacentral:tRNA from 1 species
CCCCUGGUGGUGGAAUUGGUAGACGCGGUAGACUCAAAAUCUAUUGCCUGUAUAGGCAUGAGAGUUCGACUCUCUCCUAGGGGA